ensembl:snRNA U6 U6 spliceosomal RNA
GUGCUCACUUCGGCAGCUCAUAUACUAAAAUUAGAAUGGUACAGAGAAGAUUAGCAUGACCCCUGCGCAAGGAUGACAUGAAAUUUGUGAAGUGUUCCAUAUUUUU